UCGUCAGGCUCAGUCCCCUCCCGAUAAACCUCCAAAUGGGGGGUCUCCCCGGGGGGCGCCUCCGCUU
rfam:Mesocricetus auratus contig114091, whole genome shotgun sequence.